CUUUGAAUCAUAUCGUGUGUGUGUGUGCGUGUGCGUGUAUGCGUUCCUUGGGACCCUUCCCGCGACCAAAGCAAGGUCGGUGACCCAUUCAGCUCGACCUUCACUUGGCUCCAAGCUCCGUGCCCAUACACACCUUCUUCUCCACUUUUGUUCUUAUGAAGGAGAAAUCUGAAACUCGGAAGCACCUUUUCGAGACGGCUGACAAGGGUCUGUUACCGUUUGACAUCUCGCCAGCAAACAAGUUGUCUGUGAAGACCCCUUCUGUACAAGCUCAAUGUCCCGUCUCUUGCUAAUGCAGCUAUUGUUUACCUUGUAUAAAUUGUAAAUAUAUUGGUGAAAUGUGU